rnacentral:lncRNA from 1 species
GGAAACUUUUUAAAUUUUAUUCUAUUUUUCUCUUGGGCAAUUUUUGCUUUGCUGUUUGGUUUGAGGUCAGUCGCCAAAGGCAAUAGCAUUGUGUGCAUGUGUGCAUGGUUAAAAUGAAAAGUUGGCUAACAACAUUUUUAUUCAAAAAUCAUUAACAUACAAAUCUAAUCAAAAACAAAAUGAAUAUAGUAAGCAACAAGAAUUAAAUCAUUUUUUUUUCAUUGUUUUAAUUUUAAUGAGUAAUUCCUUUCUUCAAUUCCUUAUUUUUUCAUCCUUCCAUUCAUUCAUUCAUGCAUUCCAUCAUUCCUCCUUGAUGCAAUGGAUCGCAUGGAUAUACAUACAUUGAUUUGUGAAUCGUGUGCAUCUAUUGAUGGAUGGGAGUUGUAUGUGUUUGUGUGAUGAGGGUUUGUUGAAGCAAGGCAUUGUCGAGGAUGCCCUCUAUUUUGUGUUGUGUUUUAGAUUAAAAGUUUAAUGUGUUUAUCUCUUUAAUAUACAUUGUUACACAAAAUCUCUGUUUAUGAUAUUCAUUUCGUUCCUAUAGUUUAUUCGAAUGAAUUGAAUUGAAUUGACUAGACUGACUAUGCAUACCAAUCUUGUUGCUUCUAUUGUUUAACGAAAUACGCAUAGAAUGCUCGGAUUGUCGACUUUAUCAUAGUUUUACGAAGUGAAAUUUUUUUAAAUGCUGCACUCACAUACUGACUGUGUGAUGUGAAAGAUGAAAGUGUCAUAUCAAAUUUAAUCAAAUGAACCCAAGGGAGAGUGAAUAUUAUGAAUUCACUCAUCCUUGAUGUUGGCAGAACGAGUCGUUUUGUCUGCAUAUUCAAACAACCCCCUUAAAACUAUCUCAAACGAAACUAAACUCGGGCAUGCAUUUCAACGUUUUGCAUGGUCUAAUCAUUUUUUGCAUUGACUAUAUCUUUAUUUGCAUUUCACUAUAUUGUUUUGCACUUUACUAGAUCGUUUUUGCAUCUAUGGUACGUUUUGCACUAAUGAAUUUUUUGCACUCACUCAAUUUAAACUGCUUCCAAGAAUAAAACGUUUUUAUUUUUAUUUUUUUUUCUUUUCCUUUGCCGUCCGUUGUUUGUCACCCUCAACUACACAAAAUAUCGACUCCGUGACUGUCAUGUUUUAUCUUUCACACGAAUGACGAUGAAAUGUGACAGUUUAUCUGGUCAGGAUGAUUGUACAGCCUGGGCCUUGGUUUGCAUACAAUUGAACGAAUUGUGAGUGAUUUAAUGGUGGUUAAUCUUAGAAAUACUAUAAUCUACUUCAACCAAUUCUAUUACUUCAUUUUUUGCUUUGCUGAUACGGCAUGGUUGCCUCAUGUGUAGGACAUUUGUCUGACAAACCAAUUAUCCCUACACGGGAAGAGAAUUCCUUGGGUUAAACGGCAUGUGGUCAUUAUCAAGGUUUCGUUAACUUUUGUCCCACAGGAUGAGGUUGCCAAAUCGUAAUACCAGCCUGGGUCUCAAGAGAGAAAAUGCGACAAGGGAUGCAUCGGCAAAUGCCAACUCAAAGAUGUCACUUUUACAGUAUUCAUGAGCAAUGUGGUGGUGAUAGACUCAAGUAACUGUGUUAAAAUUAAGACAGGGGCCUGCUAAAAUGAACUUACGAAUAAAUCGCUUUUUCCUUCGGACAUUCAAAUCAGUAAGUCAAAGUGUGAAAGCGUCAUUGGUUGUGUUAUUCGAGACUUGUAAGUCGGCAGUAAAUCUAUCUGUAGCGAGUGUGUUUGAGAAAGGAGGAAAUUUUUGCAUUGUUCAUUAGCAGACUUGACAUUUACCGUGUAGGUAUUUAAGGUGGCAGGCUUGCCAGCUAGAAAUUUCAGUGUGAAAAAAAAAAUAAAAGUCUUCAAAACUGGUCGUAAAAUGUCUGGUGGCUGGGAUGAAUCAAAAUAUGUCGA